CCUACGGGCGGCAGCAGUGAGGAAUAUUGGUCAAUGGACGAAAGUCUGAACCAGCCAUGCCGCGUGCAGGAAGACGGCUCUAUGAGUUGUAAACUGCUUUUGUACAAGGGUAAACCUGAAUACGUGUAUUCAGCUGAAAGUACUGUACGAAUAAGGAUCGGCUAACUCCGUGCCAGCAGCCGCGGUAAUACGGAAGGCCCGAGCGUUAUCCGGAUUCAUUGGGCUUAAAGGGAGCGUAGGCGGGCGUUCAAGUCAGCUGUAAAAUCGCGCGGCUCAACCGCGCCCCGCAGUUGAAACUGGACGCCUUGAGUUCACAACAGGCAGGCGGAAUUCGUGGUGUAGCGGUGAAAUGCAUAGAUAUCACGAGGAACCCCGAUUGCGAAGGCAGCCUGCCGGGGUGCGACUGACGCUGAGGCUCGAAGGUGCGGGUAUCAAACAGGAUUAGAUACCCCAGUAGUC
rnacentral:rRNA from 1 species